rnacentral:rRNA from 2 species
UUUUAUAAUAGUUAAUAAAAGUAAUUUUAAAAAUUUAUAUUUAAGUAUUUAUUAAAGAAAUAAUUAAAUUAAUUAUAGUGUAUUAGUAUUGUAAAAGAAUUUAAUUUAAAUUUAGUAAAAGUAGAAUUAAUUUUUUGUACCUUGUGUAUCAGGGUUUAUUAAAUAAAAAUUAUAUAUUUAAUUUUCUCGAUUUAAAAAGAGAUAAUAGAUUAUUUUUUUUAUUGUAAAAUAAAUAUUUAAAAUAGUUUAUUAGUAAUGAAAUGUUAUUCGGUUUUUAAUAUAUCUAGUUUAUUUAGAAAUAAAUUUAAUUUAGUUAAUUUGAUUUUAUUAAAUUUAAUAUUUAAUUUAAUAAAUAAAAUUGAUAAUAAUUAAGGGGAUUAGCUUUUAAUUAAAAUUUUAUAAUUUAGAUAAAAUUUAGGUUUAUGUAGGUUUAGAAAUAUCCAUUAUUUAUAGUUUGUUAUAAUAAUAAUUAAGAAAAAUAUAAUUUUAAAUAAAUUUAAGGUUUUAUAAAUAAGUAUUAUAUAAUAAAAAAAUAUUAUAUAUAAUGAUAAAAUUAGUAUAAAAAUUUAAAUAAAUAUUAAAAAAAAUAAGAUUAUUAAAAGGAAUUCGGCAAAAAUUUUAUUCGCCUGUUUAGCAAAAACAUGUCCUUUAGUAAAUAAUUUAAGGUCUAACCUGCCCUCUGAUAUAAUUUAACGGCCGCAGUAAUUUGACUGUGCAAAGGUAGCAUAAUCAUUAGUUUUUUAAUUAAAAGCUUGUAUGAAUGGUUGGACGAGAUAAAAUCUGUCUCUUAAUAAUGAUUAGAAUUUAAUUUUUAAGUUAAAAAGCUUAAAUUAUAAUAAAAGACGAGAAGACCCUGUAGAUUUUUAUUUAAUUAUUUUUAAUUAAGAUUAAAGAAAAUAUAAAAAUUAGAGAUAAUUAAAUUUUAUUGGGGUAAUAAAAAGAUUAAAUAAAUUCUUUUUUUAUUAUUACAAUGAUAAUUGGAAGAUUGAUCCAAAAUUUUUGAUUAAAAGAUUAAAUUACCUUAGGGAUAACAGCGUAAUUUUCUUAAAGAGUUCUUAUCGAUAAGAGAGAUUGCGACCUCGAUGUUGGAUUAAAAAAUAUUCUAGGUGCAGAAAUUUAGAUAAAUGGUCUGUUCGACCAAUAGUUUUUUACAUGAUCUGAGUUCAAACCGGUGUAAGCCAGGUUGGUUUCUAUCUUUAUUUAAAUAAUAUAUUUUAGUACGAAAGGACCAAAUAUUUAAUUAAAAAUUUUUUUUAUUGAUUAAAAUU